UCUUUUCUCCUCUUCUUUAUUCCCUUAGUUUCUUUGACCUUCUUUCCUCUCUUCUAUUUGCGGCCCCAACAUCACUAAUCCGAUUUUACAUGUGAAUCCUUCAUCACUUAACUUCAUCAGAUUCUCCAUUUGUUCCGCCGGAGAUAUCACAAAACGGACGGAUCUAUUCCGGGUUUGGGACAUGUGGCUCCUCAAUAGAGAUCGAAACAACAACCUUGAGGUUCCAUGGAUGAUUUUCAAGAAAGGCUCAUCAGACGGAGACAUCAAACCGCCGUCGCCGCCGUCAAACCCUAAUUGUUAAUGGGUUGGCGGUCUGGGCUUUGUAAAUUUUGCUGAAUUGGGUUUUAUAAAUUUUGCUAAAUUGGGCUUUGUAAAUUUGCUAAAUUGGGCUUCUUAUUGGAUUUAAUUGGUUUAUUGUAAUUUUCUGAGCC